rnacentral:rRNA from 1 species
GNAGGGUGCAAGCGUUAAUCGGAANNACUGGGCGUAAAGCGUGCGCAGGCGGUNGGGUAAGACAGAUGUGAAAUCCCCGAGCNNAACCUGGGAACUGCAUUUGUGACUGUCCGACUGGAGUACGUCAGAGGGGGGUGGAAUUCCACGUGUAGCAGUGAAAUGCGUAGAUAUGUGGAAGAACACCGAUGGCGAAGGCAGCCCCCUGGGACGCAACUGACGCUCAUGCACGAAAGCGUGGGGAGCAAACAGGAUUAGAUACCCUGGUAGUCCACGCCCUAAACGAUGUCUGCUGGUUGUUGGGAAUUUAAUUCUCAGUAACGAAGCCAACGCGUGAAGCAGACCGCCUGGGGAGU